UACGUAGGGUGCAAGCGUUAAUCGGAAUUACUGGGCAUAAAGCGUGCGCAGGCGGUUCGUUGUGUCGGCGGGGAAAGCCCCGGGCUUAACCUGGGAAUGGCCGUUGAAACUGGCGAACUGGAGUGUGGCAGAGGGGGGUGGAAUUCCGCGUGUAGCAGUGAAAUGCGUAGAGAUGCGGAGGAACACCGAUGGCGAAGGCAGCCCCCUGGGCUAACACUGACGCUCAGGCACGAAAGCGUGGGGAGCAAACAGG
rnacentral:rRNA from 1 species